rnacentral:rRNA from 1 species
GACUAAACGCUGGCGGCGUGCCUAACACAUGCAAGUCGAGCGGGGUAGCAAUACCCAGCGGCAGACGGGUGAGUAACGCGUGGUCAAACCUUCCGUCGAAUGGGGGAUAACUAGCCGAAAGGUUAGCUAAUACCGCAUACGAUCUUUUGAAGGCAUCUUUAAAAGAUGAAAGGAGCAAUUCGUUCAACGACGGGACCGCGUCCCAUUAGCUAGAUGGUGGGGUAAUGGCCUACCAUGGCAACGAUGGGUAGCUGGUUUGAGAGAGCGACCAGCCACACUGGGACUGAGAUACGGCCCAGACUCCUACGGGAGGCAGCAGUGAGGAAUUUUCCGCAAUGGGCGAAAGCCUGACGGAGCGACGCCGCGUGUGGGAAAGAAAGGCCUUCGGUCGUAAACCAACUGUCGAAGGGACGAUGAUGACGGUACCCUUGGAGGAAGCCCGGCUAACUACGUGCCAGCAGCCGCAGUAAG